GCAAGCUUACUUCCCAAAUGGGGAGUUUUUGUUAGGAGACAAGGCCUACCCUGUACUAACCUGGCUUAUUCCCCCGUACAUCGACAGAGAACACUACCGAAAUUCAAAGGCAUUUUAAUAGAAAUUUGGCAAGCACUAGACAGAAGAAUAUGUCAUUGAGGGAAUGAACACUGACAACCAAGAUGCAGAGCUGAUCAAUCCCGUACAUCGAGCUGUGCCUAGUGAAAAUGAUGGACAUCCGAAAAGAAACGAAUUAGCCGAGUUAUUGUAUUACCGAGUCUAGCUGAUGUAGAAAUAAAGUACCCAUUUUUAUACUUCA